rnacentral:lncRNA from 1 species
AAUAACAAGAGUCUUACAUCCAUACAUAUCGUCUAAUACAAAUAGUGGUUGUUACGGUCAAGUCUUACAUAGAUAGGGCCUCGAAGGCCAACACACCGUAUUCAACUAGUAGCGGAAAUCUUGGUUGAAAGCGUGAACCCAUGCCAUCAGCCUUAACCUACAUGCAUUCUGACUCAGAAGCGUCCUAGUUCGCAGGAACGUCACCAAGGUAUUCUUCACCAUCUC